rnacentral:tRNA from 1 species
GGGUCUGUAGUCUAACGGUUAGGACAUCGCUCUCACACAGCGGAGAACAGGGUUCAAUUCCCUGCAGACCCA